rnacentral:rRNA from 1 species
GACGAACGCUGGCGGCGUGCUUAACACAUGCAAGUCGAACGAAGAGCGACGGAAGCUUGCUUCUAUCAAUCUUAGUGGCGAACGGGUGAGUAACGCGUAAUCAACCUGCCCUUCAGAGGGGGACAACAGUUGGAAACGACUGCUAAUACCGCAUACGAUCUAAUCUCGGCAUCGAGGAUGGAUGAAAGGUGGCCUCUACAUGUAAGCUAUCACUGAAGGAGGGGAUUGCGUCUGAUUAGCUAGUUGGAGGGGUAACGGCCCACCAAGGCGAUGAUCAGUAGCCGGUCUGAGAGGAUGAACGGCCACAUUGGGACUGAGACACGGCCCAGACUCCUACGGGAGGCAGCAGUGGGGAAUCUUCCGCAAUGGACGAAAGUCUGACGGAGCAACGCCGCGUGAGUGAUGACGGCCUUCGGGUUGUAAAGCUCUGUUAAUCGGGACGAAAGGCCUUCUUGCGAAUAGGGAGAAGGAUUGACGGUACCGGAAUAGAAAGCCACGGCUAACUACGUG